rnacentral:rRNA from 1 species
AUUGAACGCUGGCGGCAUGCCUUACACAUGCAAGUCGAACGGCAGCACGGGAGCAAUCCUGGUGGCGAGUGGCGAACGGGUGAGUAAUAUAUCGGAACGUGCCCAGUCGUGGGGAUAACGUAGCGAAAGCUACGCUAAUACCGCAUACGAUCUAUGGAUGAAAGCGGGGGAGUCGCAAGACCUCGCGCGAUUGGAGCGGCCGAUAUCAGAUUAGGUAGUUGGUGAGGUAAAGGCUCACCAAGCCGACGAUCUGUAGCUGGUCUGAGAGGACGACCAGCCACACUGGGACUGAGACACGGCCCAGACUCCUACGGGAGGCAGCAGUGGGGAAUUUUGGUACCAAUGGGCGGCAAGCCUGAUCCAGCAAUGCCGCGUGCAGGAUGAAGGCCUCGGUUGUAACUAGCUUU